GACGUAGGGCGCGAGCGUUUGUCCGGAUUUAUUGGGCGUAAAGAGCUCGUAGGCGGUUUGUCGCGUCGUUCGUGAAAACUCACAGCUUAACUGUGAGCUUGCGGUCGAUACGGGCAGGCUAGAGUUCGGUAGGGGAGACUGGAAUUCCUGGUGUAGCGGUGAAAUGCGCAGAUAUCAGGAGGAACACCGGUGGCGAAGGCGGGUCUCUGGGCCGAUACUGACGCUGAGGAGCGAAAGCGUGGGGGAGCGAACAGG
rnacentral:rRNA from 1 species